rnacentral:rRNA from 1 species
UUUGAUCUCAAAUCAGGUAGGACUACCCGCUGAACUUAAGCAUAUCAAUAAGCGGAGGAAAAGAAACUAACAAGGAUUCCCCUAGUAACUGCGAGUGAAGCGGGAAGAGCUCAAAUUUAAAAUCUGGCGGUCCUCUGAGCUGUCCGAGUUGUAAUCUAGAGAA